rnacentral:rRNA from 1 species
CGCGCGCUGCAGGAUACGGUCGCGUUCGACAACGCGAUCAAGGCGACGCUCGACAAGGUGCGCCAGACCGAUCCGGAGUUGAAGAACACGCUCGUCGUCGUGACGGCCGACCACGAUCACACGCUGGUGCUCAACGGCUACGCGGCGCGCACGGGCAAGACGGAAGCGGGCAAGCCGGGCGUGCUCGGCGUGCUGCGCAACUAUCAGACGGGCGCGGUCGCGAAGGACGCGGACGGCGCGCCGUACACGAUCAUCGGCUUCGGCAACGGCGAGAACCGCGUGCAAGGCAGCCGCGCGGGCACGAGCCUCACCGACGCGGUGACGGGCGCGGACGAUUAUCGCCAGGAAGCGGUCGUGCGCAUGGCCAAGGGCGGCGAGACGCACGGCGGCACCGACGUGUUCCUCGGCGCGAUCGGCCGCGGCGCGGACGGCUUUCACGGCGUGAUCGAGAACAACAAGGUGUUCGAGCUCGUGCGCGGCGCGGCGCAGCUCUGAGCGCGGCUUGACGGGAAACAGGGGAAUACAGGAUGUCGACUAUCAAGCGCAUCGCGGCGGCGGCGUUCGCCGCGGCGGCCCUCUCGGGCGGUUUCGGCCACGCGGCGCACGCCGCGGGCCAGGCGAAGAACGUGAUCUUCUUCCUCGGCGACGGGAUGGGGCCGGCCACCGUGACGGCGAGCCGCCUCUACAAGGUCGGCGAAGCCAGCCAACUGACGAUGGAAAAGCUGCCGCGCACCGCGCGCAUCAAGACCUUCUCGAACGACGCGCAGACGACGGACAGCGCGCCGUCGAUGGCCGCGUACAUGACCGGCGUGAAGAUGAACAACGAGGUGCUGUCGAUGUCGCCGGACACGCGCGCGAUCGCCCCCGGCAGCGACGCGAACGGCAACAAGACGGUGAACCGCUGCGGCGUGGGCAACGGCACGCCGGCGGCGACGCUGCUCGAGCUCGCGAAGGCGCGCGGCAAGGCGGUCGGCGCGAUCACGACGACCGAGCUCACGCACGCGACGCCCGCGGCGACCUACUCGCACAUCUGCCAUCGCGACGCGCAGUACGACAUUGCCGCGCAGGCCGUGCCGGGCGGCGCGGGCUACAACGCGGCGCUCGGCGACGGCGUCGACGUGCUGAUGGGCGGCGGCCGCAAUCACUGGACGCCGUACGAUCCGCUCGCCAACAGGCGCGGCCGCGCGGAUGGGCGCAACCUGCUCGCCGAGCUGCAGGCGAAGGGCUACGCGGUGGUCGCGACGAAGGAUCAGCUCGCGCAGGCGGGCGCGGGCAAGCUGAUCGGCCUUUUCAGCACGACGAGCCAUCUCGAAUACGAGCUCGACCGCGUCGCGGGCAAGGGCGAGGGCGCGACGCAGCCGAGCCUCGCGGAGAUGACCGCGAAGGCGAUCGACGUGUUGCGGAAGAAUCCGAACGGCUAUUUCCUGAUGGUCGAAGGCGGGCGCAUCGACCACGCGCUGCACGGCACGAACGCGAAGCGCGCGCUCGAAGACACGGUGGCGUUCGACGAGGCGAUCCGCACCGCGCUCGCGAAGGUCGAUCUGUCGGAUACGCUGAUCGUCGUGACGGCCGAUCACGAUCACACGAUGACGAUCAACGGCUAUUCGAAGCGCGGCAAUCCGGUGCUCGACAUCAGCCGCAACUAUCGCGACGGCCAGCCGAACAAGGACGCGGACGGCAACCCGUACACGACGCUCGUGUUCGGCAAUGGCGCGAACCGGCCGAACGUGCGCGUGCCGGUGGAUUCGUCGACGGCGACGAACGACGCGUAUCUGCAGGAAGUCGGCGUGCGCAUGGGCAGCGCGGGUUCCGAGACGCACGGCGGCGGCGACGUGAUGCUGUUUGCCGACGGCGCCGGCGCGAAGGCGUUCAAGGGCACGCUCGACAACACGAAGGUGUUCGGCCUCGUGAAGGCCGCGUUCGGGUUCUGAGCGCAAUGGCUGCGAUGCGAACGUUCGCGAUGAAACUCGAUGUCGUGCGGCGCGCAUGCGCGGCGCUCGGCGGCGCGGCCGUGCUCGCCGCCGCGCCGGCGCUCGCCGCGCCUCCCGCGCCCGACGGGGGCCGCGCACCCGAUCUCGAUGCGGUGCUGCUGCACGAAAGCAUGACGGUGAGCGCGGACGGCGUGACGCGCACCGUCACGUAUCGUGAGCGGAUGGUGCGGCGCGACGGGCACGUCUGGAUCGAACGCGUGCCGCCAUCCGGCGCGAAGCGCGCGCAUGCCGGCGACGCGCAUGCGCACGAGGGCUUGGACGCCGCGCGCACGCCGCCGUCGCGCGGCGGCGCGCGUCCCGCCGCGGCGGCGGCCGAUGCGCACGCCGGCCACCGGCAUUUCGAUUUCGAUUCGGCCGCGCGGCACGUGACGAACGACGGCGGCAGGAUCGGCGUCGAAUACGUCGAUGCGGCGCAGCGCACGGUGGUUGCGGUGCCGCCCGCCGAGUACGAGACGACGGGUUUCGACGGUUCGUGGGACAACGCGUUCUACAUCACGCCGCCGUCGCAACUGAAGCGCCUCGCCGCGCAGUCGAAGCCGGGCCCCGCGCCCGGCACGCGCUGGUACGAGCAGACGGUCGGCGCGCCGCGCGCGCAGGGCACCAAUCGCGUUCUGUGGAGCGAUGCGUUGCAGGCGCCGCUCGUCGUCGAAUACCGCAGCGCGGACGGCCAUGCGUCGCGCAAGCUGACGCUCACGCUCACGCCCGCGCCGCGUGCGAACGCACUGCCGUGGCGGCAGUUGCAAUCGUAUACGCGCAAGGCGUAUGCGGACUAUCUCGAUUGACGUGCGGAUUCGUUUCGCGCGGCAAGCGUCGCGCAUCGCGCGCGACGCGAAGUGAAUCGGGCCGGACGGCGCCAAGCGUGCGCGGCGCGAUGAAGCCCGGUGGCGCUGCGCCACGCGAUGCGACGCGAUUCGGCGAGGCGGCGGCGCGGUCGUAUUCAUGCGAAGCGGCAUCAC